rnacentral:rRNA from 1 species
GACGAAGGAUGCAAGCGUUAUCCGGAUUCAUUGGGUUUAAAGGGUGCGUAGGCGGCCUAUUAAGUCAGUGGUGAAAUAUUUCAGCUCAACUGGAAUUGUGCCAUUGAUACUGAUGGGCUUGAGUACAGAUGAGGUAGGCGGAAUUGACGGUGUAGCGGUGAAAUGCUUAGAUAUCGUCAAGAACACCUAUAGCGAAGGCAGCUUACUAGGCUGUAACUGACGCUGAGGCACGAAAGUGUGGGGAUCAAACAGG